rnacentral:rRNA from 1 species
UACGUAGGGGGCAAGCGUUGUCCGGAAUCAUUGGGCGUAAAGCGCGUGUAGGCGGCUCGGUAAGUCUGCUGUGAAAGUCCAGGGCUCAACCCUGGAAAGCCGGUGGAAACUGUCGAGCUAGAGUCCGGAAGAGGCGAGUGGAAUUCCUGGUGUAGCGGUGAAAUGCGCAGAUAUCAGGAGGAACACCAAUGGCGAAGGCAGCUCGCUGGGACGGUACUGACGCUGAGGAGCGAAAGCAUGGGGAGCGAACAGG